GUCGCUAGGAUUUACGGUUUUGGUCUGCAUCAGUUGUAGGGUGAAAUAAUAAUAAUAACAAUAAAAAUAAUAAUAAUAAUCGGGUUUCUGCACUACAUGCUUGAACCUCUAAUAAUGCGCGCGCGCGCUGUGCACCACUACUCUUGGAGACAAACUGCCGAAGCUCGUGCGCAGUUGAUUGGUGUAUCUCAGUGGUUUGUUACACGCAUCAGUCUGUGUAUUUUUAUUCAUUUAUUUAUUUUUUGCCUGAUAGUUUUGAUUAGUUUUUUUCCACUGUAAAUAUUCUUCGGUUGGCAAGAAAGAGGAACGAGGUCAGAAUAUUUUCGGACAGAGUUUCUACUGUUGCUACACAACAUGACACAUCCUCCAACUGAACUGAACCUGAGCUAGCGUUGCUAACAGGAUUACAGUUUAGAUAAAGUUUUUCCUGCCCCGUUUUUGCAGUGGGAUCCUGUGUAAAUAAUAUUUUAAUAUUAUAAGGCUUAUAUUAAGAUGCUUUAUGAAUUCGCCAUGGAAGAAGAAGAAGAAGAGCGCUGCAGUUUCAAUGUAGGAGGAUGUGUUUUCUCCAUUCCUCUGAACAGACUGGCCUCCUUCCAGGACUCGUUACUACUGAAAUCAGCUUGUGUACAUGCAGACAAGUCCUCAGUUUUUCUUGAUCGUGAUGGCUGCACAUUUAGACAUGUUUCUUACUACAUAAGCACAGGAAAGCUGACUUCAGAGUCUGCACUGGAGAUGAACAUAUUACAUGAACUUGCAGCAAGUCUUCAUCUCACAGCACUGCAACAGGCUUUAGAAAAUCCGGAGACGACCGACUGCUGGAAGAUUCACCCUUCUAAAUGCAAACCAGAAUAUGAAUGCUCAUUUCAUAAGAUCAUGACACAAGGGUUGGUGUCUACGCCCCUCGUGGACAGUCAGGAGGAAGUGCUGUACUGUUUCCUCCUUCUGGAGCAUGUGCGCCUGCAUCCGGGCCUGAUCACCCACGACAAUCUGCUGUGGCUUUGUGAGGAUGUGGCUAUUAUAGAGUGUAGAAGUCACCUCUUCAGGUUCAUAGCCAAUUUCCUGCAGUCAGGGACAGUCCUACUGCCAGACUUUUUCAGCGAAUAUGCAGAGUUGUAUGGUGAAGCCAGAAUGGUGGGCGUGACCGGGUUCAUAGAGACGCUGAUGGAACUGAGUGACUGGAGCAGCUCGAGUGACUCAUGUUCUGAAUAUCAGAUGUGCUGUACAAUGGAGCCUCUCUACGUUCUGAGUUUGAGUUUGCUGGUAAGGUAUCCAGACUCCUCACUGGGUCAGCUGUGUGUAGACAGCAGUCUGGAGGGCAGUAGACUCUACAUCACAGGCUCUGGAGUGCUUUUCCAACAUGUGGAGAAAUGGUUGGGAACAUCACUUUUACCGCUGACGAGGACUAAAGAAGAGUUGCCUUGCCUAUAUGUUUACCUCAACAAUCAGGAUGGAGUUUACCUGGCCAUCAGGGAGGCCAUGCAAGAGUUCUUUUACAGGAGAGAGACCACAGGCUGUAUGACUCCGGAGUCUUGGUCUGCCUCAGUGUCAACAUUCACACUUUAUAAGAUUGUAAAUGUUUAUGCUGGAACUCGGUGGUAUGCUACAUACUUCAAAACACUUAUAAAGCAUCCAGAGCUCCUUUCUAAUUCCAACAAGAGUAAAUGGAUUGUUUUUGGAGAGAGCCUCCUGGUUAAAGGUGACGGCAAAAUCUUCCGGCACAUUCUUAACUUCCUUAGAUGUGGGCGCCUGCUGCUCCCUGCGGACUUCAGGGAAUGGCCUUUGCUGUGUCAGGAGAUUGAGGCAUUCCAGAUUCCUGCUUUGUCCAGUGCAUUGCAGAACUGCUCAGACUACAGAGCCUGGUGUAAAUCUAAGGCCCAACCGAGGAAACUUUUCACAUCAUGCACAGAUGAAGACGCCUUAGAUUCUAGUCCUGACAAGGAGGAAUCUUUAUCAAUUAAAAAGGAAAGCCCAGACAACACUCUUCUUUCCAGUAAAACACCAAGUGCACACUCAGAGAAUAAGGCUGUGUGUGUUACUGUUGGUGCUUCAGAAAUAACAGAAGUGAGACCUGCUGCUACAGAGAAGGCCGAGAGAACCGAGGGUAUCUCACUGACCUCAGUCCUAGACCACUCAACUCUAUUUUCCAACAGCUCAUGUAGUCAUGAGGAGCUAAUGAUGGAGAAUAGCAGCAAGCUUCCACCUGAUAGAGCAGCAUGCACUGGUGUCUUCGAGGAUUGCUGGAACAGAGAAAAGGCCUCCAUUAUGCACAUGCUGCAGGACAACAGGCAGAAGCAGGAUAGUCCUCUGCUGGGGCAGAUGGCAACAUUAAUGGAGACCUCACUGUCUUCGAGAAGCAUGCAGAUGUUAUUAGAAGUGUCAGAUACAGAAAAGUCUGAUCUUAUAGUUGCGCUGUUCACAGCCUUCUGUAACAACUGGCAGAGUGAUACGGGCAGCGCACAGAGAGAACACACACACUUCAAGGAGAGACUGACCCACAACACACACAUGCACAGGAAACCAAAUCAAAAUCCCAGCAGAGAUUUGAGACCAAAUAUUGUUGCAGAUCAGAUGGCCAUGCAGAAGGCAUCUUUGAAAAGCAGUGUUUUUCCCAUCACCAGCUUCACAUUACCUGUGGGUGGAUGUGUGUUAACAGUGGCUCAUCCUACAGUGCUGGGAAGAGGAGAGGCAGGGGGGUACUUUACCCACAGCAUCAUCUAUACAGAUGAACAGCCUCAAAUGGUGCAGGCUGCUGGGAAAGAGGGCAGUGAUGUUGCCUUUGCAUACUUCAACAUGUCUUAUGAAGAGAUGGUAUACGCUCGUGAGUGUCAUGCCUUCCUCACUGGUACCAUCUUAGACUCGAGCAGACUCAACGCUAAGGAGCGCACAGUCAGGCUGGUCCAUCAUCUCUGGGUGGGUCACAUGGGAGUGGACAACUUUGUGCAGGAGAUUUUGACCAUGAUUAAAGUCAGGCCUCAUAAACAAUUGGAAAAGCAAGAGAAGCUGUUGCAGUGGGUCAAGGUAAUGAUCAUUUCACGUUACCGCUGGCAAAGAGAUACACAGAGUGUGUGAAAGAGUUACUGAGGAAGACACACACAAUCAGCCUGUUUUCCACAGACCUGCUGGAAGUCACUAUACCAACACAAAAGAGGUUUUAACGGUGAUCAGUGGCCACUGAGCAGCAACCGGCUUUGACUGACCUAGGAUCAGUGAAACUCUCCUCAGUGUUUCUUGCUGACUGCUACGUGAACAUGAACACUGAUCCUGGAACAGGGCUGAGCUUCAAAAGCUGGAGCAGCUGAAAUCCAGCGAGGCAAGUGACUGGCCACAGGUCAGUUUAGACAAUCGCAACAAAGAAAUAAACAAAGAAAUAAAAACUGAAGUGAACAUUC